CCUACGGGAGGCAGCAGUGAGGAAUAUUGGUCAAUGGACGCAAGUCUGAACCAGCCAUGCCGCGUGCAGGAAGACGGCUCUAUGAGUUGUAAACUGCUUUUGUACGAGGGUAAACGCAGAUACGCGUAUCUGUCUGAAAGUAUCGUACGAAUAAGGAUCGGCUAACUCCGUGCCAGCAGACGCGGUAAUACGGAGGAUUCAAGCGUUAGCCGGAUUUAUUGGGUUUAAAGGGUGCGUAGGCGGUCGGAUAAGUUAGAGGUGAAAUCCCGAGGCUCAACUUCGGAAUUGCCUCUGAUACUUGUCGGCUAGAGAGUAGUUGCGGUAGGCGGAAUGUAUGGUGUAGCGGUGAAAUGCUUAGAGAUCAUACAGAACACCGAUUGCGAAGGCAGCUUACCAAGCUACUUCUGACGUUGAGGCACGAAAGCGUGGGGAGCAAACAGGAUUAGAUACCCCAGUAGUC
rnacentral:rRNA from 1 species